CCCUUAUCCUUUGUUGCCAGCGGUCCGGCCGGGAACUCAAAGGAGACUGCCAGUGAUAAACUGGAGGAAGGUGGGGAUGACGUCAAGUCAUCAUGGCCCUUACGACCAGGGCUACACACGUGCUACAAUGGCGCAUACAAAGAGAAGCGACCUCGCGAGAGCAAGCGGACCUCAUAAAGUGCGUCGUAGUCCGGAUUGGAGUCUGCAACUCGACUCCAUGAAGUCGGAAUCGCUAGUAAUCGUGGAUCAGAAUGCCACGGUGAAUACGUUCCCGGGCCUUGUACACACCGCCCGUCACACCAUGGGAGCGGGUUGCAAAAGAAGUAGGUAGCUUAACCUUCGGGAGGGGGCGUACCACUUUGUGAUUCAUGACUGGGGUGACGUCGUAACAAGGUAA
rnacentral:rRNA from 1 species